rnacentral:rRNA from 1 species
CCGAACCCACACCGUUGAAAAGGAUCGGGAUGAGCUGUGCCUAGGGGUGAAAGGCCAAUCAAACUCGGAGAUAGCUGGUUCUCUGCGAAAUCUAUUUAGGUAGAGCGUCAUCCGAAUACCCCGGGGGGUAGAGCACUGGAUGGGUAAUGGGGCCCCACAGGCUUACUGAUCCUAACCAAACUCCGAAUACCCGGGAGUACUAGAUGGCAGACACACAGCGGAUGCUAACGUCCGUGUGGAGAGGGAAACAACCCUGACCUACAGCUAAGGCCCCUAAUUCAUGGCUAAGUGGGAAAGCAGGUGGGACGACCAAAACAACCAGGAGGUUGGCUUAGAAGCAGCCAUCCUUUAAAGAUAGCGUAACAGCUCACUGGUCUAAAUAAGUUGUCCUGCGGCGAAGAUGUAACGGGGCUCAAGCCAUGAGCCGAAGUCUAGGAUGCUGUGCAUCGGUAGCAGAGCGUAGUGUGACAUAGUUCCAUCCUCUUUAGCUUCUUCGGAUUGCCUUGGAGGAUAUGGACUUUCGAUGAAGCCGGGGCGUGAGCAUCCGGUGGAGAGAUCACUAGUGAGAAUGAUGACAUGAGUAGCGACAAAGAGUGUGAGAGACACUCUCGCCGAAAGUCCAAGGGUUCCUGCUUAAAGCUAAUCUGAGCAGGGUAAGCCGGCCCCUAAGGCGAGGCCGAAAGGCGUAGUCGAUGGGAACCAGGUUAAUAUUCCUGGGCCAGGAGGAAGUGACGGAUCGUGACGGUUGUUCCUCCUUAUCGGAUUGGAGGGGCCGCUAAUCGGUUCCUGGAAAUAGCUCCAUCAUGAGAUCGUACCCUAAACCGACACAGGUGGACUGGUAGAGAAUACCAAGGCGCUUGAGAGAACGAUGUUGAAGGAACUCGGCAAAAUACCUCCGUAAGUUCGCGAGAAGGAGGCCCAGUUUCUACGCAAGUAUUGGCUGGGGGCACAAACCAGGGGGUGGCGACUGUUUACUAAAAACACAGGGCUCUGCGAAGUCGCAAGACGACGUAUAGGGUCUGACGCCUGCCCGGUGCCUGAAGGUUAAAAGGAGGGGUGAGAGCUCCGAAUUGAAGCCCAGGUAAACGGCGGCCGUAACUAUAACGGUCCUAAGGUAGCGAAAUUCCUUGUCGGGUAAGUUCCGACCUGCACGAAUGGCGUAACGACUUCCCCACUGUCUCCAACAUCGACUCAGCGAAAUUGAAUUGCCUGUCAAGAUGCAGGCUUCCCGCGGUUAGACGGAAAGACCCCGUGCACCUUUACUACAGCUUCACACUGGCAUCAGGCCAUGCAUGUGCAGGAUAGGUGGUGGGCAUUGAAACCGGGACGCCAGUUCCGGUGGAGCCUCCCUUGAGAUACCACCCUUGCAUUGCUUGAUGUCUAACCGCGGUCCGUUAUCCGGAUCCGGGACCCUGUGUGGCGGGUAGUUUGACUGGGGCGGUCGCCUCCUAAAGCGUAACGGAGGCGCGCGAAGGUUGGCUCAGAGCGGUCGGAAAUCGCUCGUUGAGUGCAAUGGCAGAAGCCAGCCUGACUGCAAGACUGACAAGUCGAGCAGAGUCGAAAGACGGCCAUAGUGAUCCGGUGGUCCCCAGUGGAAGGGCCAUCGCUCAACGGAUAAAAGGUACGCCGGGGAUAACAGGCUGAUACUGCCCAAGAGUCCAUAUCGACGGCAGUGUUUGGCACCUCGAUGUCGGCUCAUCUCAUCCUGGGGCUGGAGCAGGUCCCAAGGGUACGGCUGUUCGCCG